rnacentral:rRNA from 1 species
GUCUACGGCCAUGCUACCCUGAACAAGCCCGAUCCUGUCUGAUCUCGGAAGCUAAGUAGGAUCGGGCCUUGUUAGUACUUGGAUGGGAGACCACCUAGAAAACCAGGUGCUAUAGACA